GACGACGCGUGGCGGCGUGCCUAAUCGCAUGCAAGUACGAACGGUAACGAGGGAGCUUGCCUCCGCUGACGAGGUGGACGGAACGGGUGAGUAAUGUAGUCGGAACGUACCAUUCAGGUGGGGAAUAACGUAGACGAAAGUUACGCUAAUACCGCAUAUUCUGUGAGCAGGAAAGCAGGGGAUCGCAAGACCUUGCGCUGAUUGAGCGGCCGAUGUCAGAUUAGCUAGUUGGUGAGGUAAAGGCUCACCAAGGCGACGAUCUGUAGCGGGUCUGAGAGGAUGAUCCGCCACACUGGAACUGAGACACGGUCCAGACUCCUACGGGAGGCAGCAGUGGGGAAUUUUGGACAAUGGGGGCAACCCUGAUCCAGCCAUGCCGCGUGAGUGAAGAAGGCCUUCGGGUUGUAAAGCUCUUUCGGCCGGGAAGAAAUCGCAUGGGUUAAUACCCUGUGCGGAUGACGGUACCGGCAUAAGAAGCACCGGCUAACUACGUG
rnacentral:rRNA from 1 species